AGGGUCGGAUGACACGUGAGCCAUGAUCUGUGAGACCAUGACCUGGAUUCACGUGGUUUGCAAAUAAAGCCAUAGUCCUUUUUUAUACUUCCUACCGUUAAUUAUUAGAAACCUCCUUUCGGCUGUGGAUUCUAUUUUUCUCUCUCCAGUCUCAACGGCUCUAUUCUGCUGAGAAAAUCAUGAUUUUUUGUUGGUUAUUAUAAGGUAAGUAAUGCGGUGGACAGCCCAACCGCAACGACGCUGUUCCCUGACUCCAUUCUCUUGUUCCAUUGCCGGUACCUUUUACACCCACCUUAUGGCUUGUGGGUUCAAGUGCCUUGGCCGCAUUCUCGACCGUUAUGUCCGUUUCUGCUGUGAAUCCCCCGGUCUUGUCUAUGCAUGCCAAGUAUUCGAUGAAAUUACUGAACAAGAUGUGGUCGCAGGAACCUUGUUUGUUUCGUGGGAUGAUGCUGGAUUAUUGAAGUCCCAAUUAUUUCAUGUUUGUGGAACGAUGAAGCUGAUGCUGCCGUUAGUUUGUUGAUGAGAUGACAUGUCAGAGAAGCAAGCCAUGGCCGGGAUUUUUCAUUGUCUGUGAAUAACUCUUGGUGAACUGUAAAGAAGGAUGUACUACAAUUGAUAAAGCGCACAACAGGGUUUUAAUCAAGAUUCCCUUUGAAAAUUUUGUUUUUGUGGAAUGUAAUGGUCUCAGGAGUAUGUUAAUGAGGGGCUUGUUUGUGAAGUUAAAUAAUUUUUCAAGAUGAUUCCAGAGAUGAAAUAUUUUGGCGUGGACUGUGAUCAUCAGUCCCAUCACUUCAAA